CUGUCCAGGGGACACGCGCCCCUCAGACAUCCGCCCCAGGCCUGCUUCCAGCCCAGGCCCGCCGUGCCUAGUCUUCCCGGGCCGCACUCACCCCGGAGGAAGCCUUGGCCCCCUCGUCUUCUUCGCCCCUCCAGGCCGGCGACGCGGGGCUGACGGCCAGGUCGCAAGAGGUAGCGCCGAGAGGAGCCCGCUCCCCUCGGACGGCAGCGGAGACCCUGGCCCAGUCCCCUGGCUACAGCCGCAGCGGCAGCAGCUGACCCGGAUGCAGAGAGUUGCCCCAGCGGAAGUGGUAGUAUCCUGACCUUCUUCAGGCG
rnacentral:lncRNA from 1 species